UUCAUUCAGAAGGUGGUGCUGGGGGAGAAGAAGAAAGUUGGGGGGAGCACGUUUGCCUCCCUUAACCUGGGAUGGACACAGGAAAAAGUCCCGCAUGCCUUAACUGCAAUGCAUUUCCACGCCGAACUGGAGGGCCAGCUGCUUUCCAACGCAGUGCCGUACAAAGUCCCGUCAUUACAGACCAAAUCAGGGUACUUCCAAAAUAAGAAUACUAAGCUGUAAGAUAGAAUUAAAGAUAACAGUCUCUGAUGAAGUCAGCUUUCAAAACUUCUCUCAUUCUGGGUCCAGACCUUCCUGUGCAAAGUAACAAGCACUGGCCAGCACUGCAGUGUCUCUUGCCUUGUCUGAUGCUGAGUCUUUACAAGAAGAUAACCACAUGUGCUUUGAACUCUAUGACAGCAAGGAUCCUAAACUUCCAGUUAAGGUCAGGAACCUCUAACUUCAAGUUUUAGACACAAGUAGAAAAUGUUACAUUGUAGCUCUUUCUUUUGAGUAGUUAAAGCUGGUUUCCUGUGUAAGACUAGAGUUCUUACUUGAUAAUAUCACAAGCUCUUUUUUCUAAAGGAAUAGUGCUUACAGAUACAUUCAUCAUGGGUUCUUAUCUGAGCUGAAAAAAAGAAAGCCUGAUAUAAAUGGCAAGAAUGGAGCAAAGGUUAGGGCAAACAUAGUGUGAUGUGGAGCCCUUAAUUACCAUGCUAAGCCUCAAAACAUGAUUUGAGAGGUGGUGAUAACAGAGAGUUUCACGUUCCUCUGGCAGGCAGAGUAGAUCCCCUUGUCAUGAUGGGGAAACUUCCAGGCAUGACCCUCCCUCUUGUUCAACCCUGAUGUGGUAGGGGCCUCCCUCUUCUGGCCAUUAGGCCUUGAGGAGGGAUGCUGCCUGUAGGUUCCAGGAGAGUAGGGGUAGGUGGGACCUAUAUUCUGAGCCUCUUGCCAAGGAGACAAAAUCUUCCAGGUCUGUCUGCCUUCCCCUUCAGUUCUAACUUACCUUGUGACUUAUCUAAGUCACAUAAUUCCUUGGGCACCCAUCCCUGCUUCUCCCUUCCUCCUUCCCCCUUCCUCCUCCUCAUUCCCUUCCAUAUUAUUCUGUCUAAUGAUGUUUUUGUGAAGGAUGACAAAGACACAUACAGUCAUUUUAUUAAAUUACAAAAUGCCCUGUGGUUAAAUAAUGACUGAACAAGAAAUAAAAAUCAAACUAGCAAAGCAUAAUUGUCUUUUAAUCUUCACGUGAACUAGCUUGCUCAAUCUCAAAAUUAGUGAUUUCAGAUGUUAAUUUAACAAUGCCUCAGACCCUUGGGCUUGAUACUGCUCUUUUAUAAAGGAGUAAUUUGCCUGAUGGGUGCCCACAAGUUAGCAGUAGAGUCAGUGAAAAGCCUCCAGGACUUCCCCUCUGGCCGGAUUAGCAGCUUGAUGGUAAUCUUCAGCUUGCUUUAGACAGGAAGCUUCUGCUCCACGCUAUAGUGGCUCAGAGGUCUGCCCUCAAGUUACAAGAGCUAGGCUACAGAAAAAGUCUGUAGCCACAUGUUACUGGCCUGGAGAUGUCUUCCAACCUUGGGGGUGGUGACUUUGAGAUAUAUAUAUGUGUAUAUAUACACAUAUGUAUGCAUACAUAUAUUUAUAAUAAAUAUAUAUGGGAAAUUCCUUGGUGGCUCAGUAGUAAAGAAUCUGCCUGAUACAGGAGACCGAGGUUCAAUCCCUGGGUGGGAAAGAUCCCCUGGAGGAGGGCAUGGCAGUCCACUCCAGUACUCUUGCCUAGAGAGUCUCAUGGACUGAGGAGCCUGGUGGGCUACAGUCCAUAGGGUCAACAAAGAGUCAGACACAACUCAAGCAACUGAGCAUGCAUACAUGUAUAGACACAUAUGAAUUUUUGCAAUUCAGUAAUAAGGAGACAACUAAAUAGAAAGUGGGUAAAAGAUUUGAACAGAUACUUCACAAAAUAUGAUAUAUACAAGUGGACAAUGAGUAUAAAAUAAACAUUGUUAAUCAUCAGAGAAAUUCAAAUUAAAACCCCAAGGAUAUAUCACUUUAUAUCCAUUUGAGGGGGCUUCCCAGGUGGCGCUAGUGGUGAAGAACCUCCCUGCCAGUUCAGGAGACAUAAGAGACACGGAUUUGAUUCUUGGGUGGGAAAGAUUCCCUGGAGGAGGGCAUAGCAACCCACUCCAGUAUUCUUGCCUGGAGAAUCCAUGGACAGAUGAGUCUGGUGGGCUAUAAUCCAUAGUGUUGCAAAGACUCAGACAUGACUGAACAACUUAGAGGGGUUGAAAUUAAAAAGACUCACAAUGUAAGAUGUUGCCAAGCCUGUAGAACAACUUAAAUUCUCAUAUAGUGCUUGUGGGAUUGUACAUGGUACAAUCACUAGAGAAAAUCAUUUGACAGUUUCUGCCAAAGUAUUUGUAUGAUCUAGCAGUUCCGCUCCUAGGUAUUUACCCAAGAGAAAUCAGAACAUGUCCACACAAAGACGUGUACACAAAGGUUCAUAGCAGUCAUAUUCUGCGAUAGGCAUCUUCUAACAUGGGUCCCAGUGAGCCCCAUCUGUUAGAAUUCACACCUUUGUUUGUACUAUCUCCUGGACUGUGGGCUGAAACUAUGACUUACCUCUAACAAAGAGAAUAAGGCUGCAGCAAUGUGGAUGGGCUUGGAGAUUAUCAUAAUUAAGUUAAGUCAAACAGAGAAAGGCAAACAUUAUAUGAUAUUGCUUAUAUGUGGAAGAUUUAAAACAUGAUACAAAUGAACUUGUUUAUAAAACAGAGACCAUAGACAUAGAAAACAAACUUAUGUUACCAAAGGGGAAAAGAGGGGGAGGGAUAAAUUAGGAGGUUAGGAUUAAUAAAUACACACUAUUAUAUCCCACUCCAGUACUCUUGCCUGGAAAAUCCCAUGGAUGGAGGAGCCUGGUAGGCUGCUGUCCAUGGGGUCACUAAGUCAGACAUGACUGAGUGACUUCACUUUUACCUUUCGCUUUCAUGCAUUGGAGAAGGAAAUGGCAACCCACUCCAGUGUUCUUGCCUGGAGAAUCCCAGGGACGGGAGAGCCUGGUGGGCUGCUGUCUAUAGGGUCACACAGAGUCGGACACGGCUGAAGUGACUUAGCAGCAGCAAUAUAUAAAAUAGAUGAACAACAAAGACCUACUAUAUAGCACACGGAACUAUGUUCAAUAUUUUGUAAUAAUCUAUCAGGGAAAAAUGUGAUGUAAAGCGCCAACUCAUUGGAAAAGACCCUGAUGCUGGGAGAGACUGAAGACAGGAGAAGGAGACGACAGAGGACGAGAUGGUUGGAUGGCAUCACCGAUUCAAUGGACAUGAGUUUGGGCAAGCUCUGGGAGUUGGUAAUGGACAGAGAAGCCUGGUGUGCUGCAGGCCAUGGGGUCACAAAGAAUCAGACAUGACUGAGCAACUGAACAAAAACAACAAGGGAAACUAACCUGAAAAGGAAUAUAAUUGAAUCACUGUGGCGCACACCUGAAACUAACAUGACAUAGUAAAUCAACUAUAUUUCAAUUUAAAAAAAAGAGAGAAGACUUUAAAAAAAAGAAAAGGAGAGAAAGAAUAUGGCAAAAGUGAUGAGAUUAGGCUGCAGAAACACUGAUUUUGAUAUAUCCUCCACUCUCUUCUGGUCUCUUCCCUGUUUGCUCUGGUGAAGCUCUGGUGAAGCCAGUGGGUGUGUUAUGAGAUUCCUUAUGAACACGCCACAUGUCACAGGAUUAAGGGAGGGCUCUGGCUGACACAUUCAGGGAGGAACUGAGGCUCUUGGUUCAGCAGCCUACAAAGAUCUAUAUCCUCCCAAUAACAUGGGCGUUGGAGCUAGUGGCCUGGCCAACACCUCAAGUACAACUUUGUGAGGAGACCUUGAGGCAGAAGCACCAAGCUAAACUAGACUCAAAUUCCUGAUCCACAGAAACUGUAACAUAAUAUGCAUUUCCCUUUUAAAUCACCAAAUGUUAUAGUAAAUUUUUCCACAGCAAUAGAUAACUAAUACAUAUUCAUCAUAGUUACUGAAAACAACAGAAGAACAAUAAACAUACUGCUGAAUAUUCAUAUAAUUGAAUGAGAAACAAGAAAUGGAAUAAGAAAUAUUUCUACUUGGUAAUAAGAAAUAAACAGACUUCUGAUAUCUGUAACAAUGUAGAUGAAUCUAAAACAAUUAAACUCAUGAAAACAAAUCACAAACAAAAGAGAACAUACAGUAUGAUUCCAUUUGUGUGAGAAUCAAAAAAGAUAAUAUUUACAGUAACAGAAAGCUGAUCAGUGAUUGCCCAAGGCCGGGAGGUAGAAAUUGACUACAGAGGAGCAAAAAAAAAAAGCUUCUGGAGUGAUGAAAAGGUUUUAUAUCUUGUCACUAGAGAUCUCUUCAAGAAAAUUAGAGAUACUAAGGGAACAGCUCAUGCAAAGAUGGGCACAAUAAAGGACAGAAAUGGUAUGGAUCUAACAGAAGCAGAAGAUAUUAAGAAGAGGUGGCAAGAAUACAUGGAAGAACUAUACAAAAAAUAUGUUCAUGACCCAGAUAACCACGAUGGUGUGAUCAUUCACCUAGAGCCAGACAUCCCGGAAUGCGAAGUCAAGUGGCCUCCACUAUGUACAAAGCUAGUGGAGGUGAUGGAAUUCCAGUUGACCUAUUUCAAAUCUUAAAAGAUGAUGCUGUGAAAAUGCUGCAUUCAAUAUGCCAGCAAAUUUGGAAAACUCAGCAGUGGCCACAGGACUGGAAAAGAUCAGUUUUCAUUCCAAUCCCAAAGAAAGGCAAUGCCAAAGAAUGUUCAAACUACCACACAAUUGCACUCAUCUCACAUGCUAGAAAGGUAAUGCUCAAAAUUCUCCAAGCCAGGCUUCAACAGUACAUGAACCGUGAACUUCCAGAUGUUCAAGCUGGAUUUAGAAAAGGUAGAGGAACCAGAGACCAAAUUGUCAACAUACACUGGAUCAUAAAAGGCAAGAGAAUACCAGAAAAAGAUCUAUUUCUGCUAUAUUGAUUAUGCCAAAACCUUUGACUAUGUAGAUCACAACAAAGUGUGGAAAAUUCUUCAAGAGAUGGGAAUACCAGACCACCUCACCUGCCUCCUGAGACAUCUGUAUGCAGUUCAAGAAGCAAUAGUUAGAACUGGACAUGGAACAACAGACUGGUUCCAAAUUGGGAAAGGGAUACAUCAAGGGUGUAUAAUGUCAUCCUGUUUAUUUAAUUUAUAUUCAGAGUACAUCAUGUGAAAUGCCAGGCCAGACUAAGCAUAAACUAGAGUUAAGAUUGCCAGGAGAAUUAUCAAUAACCUCUGAUUACACAGAGGAUACCACCCUUAUGGCUGAAAGCGAAGAAGAACUAAAGAGCCUCUUGAUGAAAGUGAAAGAGGAGACUGAAAAAACUGGCUUAAAGCCCAACAUUCAAAAAAUGAAGAUCAUGGCCUCCAGUCCCAGCACUUCAUGCAAAUAGAUGGGGAAAAAAUGGAAACAGUGAGAGACUUAUUUUCUUGGACUUCAAAAUCAUUGCAGAUGGUGACAGGAGUCAUGAAAUUAAAAGACACUUGCUCCUUGAAAGAAAAACUAUGACCAGCCUAGACAGCAUAUUUAAAAGCAGAGACAUUACUUUGCCGACAAAGGUCUGUCUAGUCAAAGCUAUGGCUUUUCCAGUAGUCAUAUACAGAUGUGAGAAUUGGACCAUAAAGAAAGCUGAGUGCCAAGGAACUGAUUCUUUUGAACUAUGGUGUUGGAGAAGACGCUUGAGAGUUCCUUGGACUGCAAGGAGAUCCAACCAGUCCAUCCUAAAGUAGAUCAGUCCUGGAUGUUCAUUGGAAGAACUAAUGUUGAAGCUGAAGCUCCAGUACUUUGGUCACCUGAUGCGAAGAACUGACUCCUUGGAAAAGAUCCUGAAGCUGGGAAAGAUUGAAAGCAGGAGAAGGGGACAGGGACAACAGAGGAUGAGAUGAUUGGAUGGCUUCACCAACUCGAUGACAUGAGUCUGAGCAAUCUCUGGGAGUUGGUAAUGGACAGGGAAGCCUGGGUUGCUGCAGUCCAUGGGGUCACAAAGAGUCGGACAUGACUGAGAGACUGAACUGAACUGAUACCUUUGUCAUGACUAAUUGAACUGUACACUCAAAAUAGAUAUAUAGGCAUAUUUUACCUUAUGCAAAGUAUUUUACCAUAUGCAAUUAAGUUGGUUUACAAAGUUAAAUAAGUCUCAAAGCAAAUACAAUCAAUAAAUCAAUGGCAGCAAAUUUUUAAAAUCUGUAGGAAACACAAGAAUUGGCCCAAGAAAACAAAAAAUACAGUGACCACAUAACCAACUUAAAAGAUGAUUUAAAAACUGUGAAAGACUACUUAGAAAUUACUUAACUUUCUGAUUUUCAGUUUCUUAAUCUGUAAAAUGGAAAUAAAGUAACACCAUACAUAAUUUUUGUAAGAAUUGAAUGAACAUGCUUAGUCUAAUACUCAGGACCCAGUAGGUGCUCAAAGGGACUUCUCUGGUGGCUCAGACAGUAAAGAAUCUGCCACGUAGGAGACCUGGGUUCGAUCCUGGGUUGGGAAGAUCUUCUGGAGAUGGUUACCCAUCCAGUAUUCUUGCCUGGAAGAUCCUGUGGACAGAGGAGCGUGGUGGGCUACAGUCCAUGGGGUCAGAGUCAGAAAUGACUGAGCAACUAACACUUUUACUUUCAAGUGCUCAGUACUAGUUUUCCUGAUCUGCAGUAGUGUUUUAAGCCUAACUCAGCAUGUACACACGCACACACAUGAUGAUAGCUUAACUUCUCUUUCCAGAAAGGCAACAUAACACUACUUAAUUCAGUCAACAAACGCUGAGUUCCUCCUUUGCAGACUCUCCAAGGAGAGUCCCAGCUCCACAGGAUGGUUCAGUCUUUCUGUGAUUUUUCUUUCUAAAUGUGAAGAGUGAGAAGAAAAGACAACUAAAAGCAGGAAACAGGGGACUAAGCCCUCAGAAAGGUAAGCACUACCAAGCAAGGUAGGGAGGAGAUGUCUGAAGACUGUCUUCAGCAUAUUCAACACACUCCCUGUGCGAGCCCUCAACUAGGAUGACACUGCCACUUCUGCACUGAAGAAUGUUCAGGUUUCUAAAGUGUGAGCUGUGGUGUCUCAAAGCUGAGCACUUUGACCCUAAAGCUAAACAGUUGACUGAUGAAAGUGGAACUUUUCACCAUGGGUGCCUUCAGCACCCCCACCCCCACCCCAACCUCCUACACCUCCCCUGAAACAUCUGAGCGGAGGGUGGAGCCUGCUCCCCUGGGAAGUUUGGGAGUGGCAUUCAAAGAAGGCAGCCUCCUGCCAGGUUUGAGGUC
ensembl:lncRNA